GCAUUAUGUUUUACAACACAGUGAAAACAAGUCUGGGAUCAGAUGGACUUGAGUUCAAAUCCUGAUUUUGCUCCUUUCCAGUUGGGUAGCCCUGAUGCCAUUUAGGCAUCAGAAGACUUAUGCUGAGUCCUAACUUUUCCCUUGAUGGCCAAGUGAUUGUGGAUUCUCACACUGUGUCCAAGAAUAACAGAAAUCACAAGACUCUACAUGCUGGUUACUGCUGGUUAUCAACACAUCAAGU